rnacentral:misc_RNA from 1 species
GAUGAAGAACGUAGCGAAAUGCGAUAAGUAAUGUGAAUUACAGAAUUCAGUGAAUCAUCGAAUCUUUGAACGCACAUUGCGCCCCUUGGUAUUCCGAGGGGCAUGCCUGUUCGAGCGUCAUUAUAACCCCUCAAGCUCAGCUUGGUGUUGGGGCCUGCUGCACUGGCAGCCCUUAAAAUCAGUGGCGGCGCCAUCUGGCUCUAAGCGUAGUAAUUCUUCUCGCUAUGGAGUCCUGGUGGAUGCUUGCCAUCAACCCCCAAUUUUUCUAUGGUUGACCUCGGAUCAGGUAGGGAUACCCGCUGAACUUAAGCAUAUCAAUAAGCGGAGGA